CAUAGCAACGGGAGAAGGAGAACGACAUCUGGACACAACAGCUGUUUGAUCUCCGGCACCUUCUCCUAUCUACCAUGAGUGGCUGUAACCACGGCAACCGAGAGAAAGCGAUAGGGAAAGAGAGAGUGAGAGAGAUGGAGAGAAAGAGAGAGUGAGAGACAAAGAGGGACAGAAAGCAACAGAGUGAGAAAGAUGGAGAGAGAGAGACCAAGAGAUAGACAGAGAGAGAGAGAGAGAGAGAGAGAGAAAGAGAAACAGAAAGAUAAAGAGAGAGACUGAAAGUCAGAGAGCAAGAGACAGAUAGAGCGGAAGAGAGAAAGAAAGAUAGUUACAGUGAUGUUUCCAUGGACUACAUUAAUAAAUAAACAUUAUAUAUUAAUAUAUACAGAAUUCAUGUGCACACGUGUGUGUGUAUGUCUGUGUGUGUAUGUGUGUGUGUAUAGGUGUGUAUGUGUGUGUAUAUGUGUAUAGGUGAGACUGUAUGUGUGUGUGUGUGUAUAGGUGUGUCUGUAUGUCUGUAUAUGUGUAUAAGUCUGUCUGUAUGUCUGUGUGUGUAUGUGUGUGUGUCUAUGUGCAAAGGUGUGACUGUAUGUGUGUGUGUGUGUUUGUAUGUGUAUAGGUGUCUUCAAGUGUGUGUAUGUGUGCAUAUGUGUGUGUGUAUAGGUGUGUCUGUAUGUUUGUGUGUGUGUAUAUGUGUAUAGGUGUGACUGUAUGUGUGUGUGUGUGUAUAUGUGUAUAGGUGUGACUGUAUGUGUGUGUGUCUGUAUGUGUAUAAGUGUCUUUAAGUGUGUGUAUGUGUGCAUGUGUGUGUGUAUAGGGGUGUGUGCGUGUGUGUGUGUGUGUGUGUGAGUGUGUAUGUGUAUAGGUGUCUUUAAGUGUGUGUAUGUGUGCAUAUGUGUGUGUAUGGGGUGUGUGCAUGUGUGUGUGUCUUUAAGUGUGUGUAUGUGUGCAUAUCUGUGUGUGUGUGUGUGUGUAUAUGUGUGUAUAUGUGUGCAUAUGUCUCUCUGUCUGUCUGUCUGUCUGUCUGUCUGUCUGUCUCCCGUUAUUUAAACCUGUUCACGUCACUAACCCACAGUAUUAAUGGUGACACCACAGUGCUGCCGAAUUCUCUAUUCUGAUUGGUCAGGAGGUGUUGAUUCAUUUUCAGCAGCUCUGACAGUAGCGCAGCUGCGUUUCUAUAGUAACAGCUCAUUCACAAGUACUUAAAAAGAAUCACUGAUAUGGUGGUUUUCUUUUUGUUAUUUCUAUAGAACAUGGAAGGAGUCUCCAGUGUCAGCGCUUUGUAACAGUCAGAGGUAAAACUGUAAAUUUAGGUUUUACUAAUUUUUCGCCUCGCGAAACCUUUUCCGGUUUCUCGGAAACGCGACGAGCUGCGUUUAUUUAUUUAUUUAUUUAUUUGGCUUAUUAAACUGAAGAGAGAGAAUAAAGAGAGAGAGGGAGUAAAGAGAGAGAAUAAAGACAGGGAUGGUGAGGGAACGAGUGUUUAUAGCUGCUCUAACGCAAGUGACAACAGGUUUCACAGAACAUUCAGCGCACUUAUAAUCGGAUAAAAGUUAUGACAUUUCCGUUUGAUAAUAAAUAAAACAUUUCCGAUUCCGUUUACUUUUAGCCGUUAUCCUAAUUUCACUAAAAGAACAGUUCCUUGUUCUCUUUCCGCAUCUUAAUCUUUAGAAAAUGACACCAGUAGAAACCGUUAGAAAUGUUACGUUUUUAGGACGUUUCAAUUUAAAUUUUACCCUAAUUUUUAUUUCAAUGGUAAUCAUGUACCUUCUGGCAGUUCUUAACAGUAACCAUAGAAACCUGUAGCUAAAUAAGACAAUUCCUAUUACCGUGAUGGAAACCGCUGGAUGUUCUUAACGGCUGGUUUGUUACGCGGGUCUUGAAAGAAGGAAACGGUUCACCGUGAACACGUUACCUAGCGCGAUGUGAGCGCUACGACGGAACGAAGGAAUCGCAACAAUGUUUCAGAGCGGUUAAACGGUGUAGCCGUUUCGCGUGAAGUUCAUUUCGGAGUUUACGUUGCGAGUCUCUGUGCAGACGUAGCACGUCAUUUCCAGUCGCUGUUCUUGUGUUUUAGUUCCGCACACAUCUAUCUAAACGCUAUCUAUAGCUAUAAUAUAAUCACGUUUCUUUUAACGGCCAAUGCUACGCGUACGUAAAGUGUCGUUUAAGUCGUACAGAAUGUUUUCUUCUUCGACACACCUGAGAGAAAUGUUGAUAUUUCCAAUAUUGUGGUUUAGUUUACGCUACACGGAUUGGCACCGUGUCCAGGGUGUACCCCGCCUUGUGCCCGGUGCUCCCUGGGAGAGGCUCCAGGUUCCCCCGUGACCCGGAAGGAAGGAUAAGCGGUAUAGAAGAUGGAUGGAUGGAUGGAUAGUUUACGCUACAUCAUUAAACUCGCUAGCUCAUUUAUUAACUAGCCUCCAUUCUUGGAGGCCAGCUUUCCCUGUCGCCUAGCAACAGUGUUCACAUGACUUUACCCACUUAAAGAAUGAAUUUAUGAAGUUAUGCUUCAAUACAGGAUUACAGCCGGGUUUUUUUCUUCUUAACAGACUCUUCCGAAUAAAACCGAAGGACGUUUGGAGAAAUUAGGUUUAUUUCAUAUUUAUUCUCAGCGAUUAUGAUGAAAAGCGCUUCACAGAAAAAGACACGAAGGAAUUUCCGACAUUCUCCAGUCUUAAAAAGCUUCACUGAAAGUUCCUGGUACGACCGUGUGUGUACGUGAACCUUUUACUGUUCGUAAACAUCUACAUGUUUUGUAUCUCCAUGCUCCCAUGCUCUGGGUUAAAUAAAAUAAAUAAAACGGGGCAUUCUAUUCAAACCCAGCUGAAGCUUAAAACAAAUUCAAUGGCUGUUUGAAAGCACGUUAUUCGGGAAGUUUAGUCUAAUACUUGCGAACCACGUACAGAAACACCUGAGGCGUUAUAAACCGGGACGGCUGUUGCUAUGGUUACAUCUCAAAGGACGUUAUCUCGUUCUUUUAUGGUUGCUUUUAAUGAGAGAGAGAAAUAUUUUCUGCACAAUUAAUAUCAGUUUAAUUGUGAUUAGUGAUGCGCGAAUACCAAACAAACAAUUAUUAAGGACUGUUGCCAUGGUGACAUGAUAGAGCUACGUGAAACGCCGCCCAUCACGUUCAAUUGUGCAGCCAUGAUGUAAUUUUAUCCCACAUCUAUCUCUCUGUGACUUCCGAAUCAGGAAAUGGCAUCCGAAGUGACUGAACUGCUCUUCCUGUGGUGUUUGCUAUUACUAUCUCUUUAAACUUCAGAUUAAUUAUGUUAAUAUCAAUACAGCCUUAUUUCUUUAUUUUUUUAUCUUAGUGAUGCACCCAUGCUCUGAUUGGAAUAAAACAUGACACUCGUCGCAAAAAUUCGGCCGGAAAUGAAGCUUAGUGUAAGUAAGCGUCGCGCGUUCACAAUCAGGUUAUUUGGGAAAUUUAGCCUGUUACUUAUCGAACACCUGAGGAAGUGUAACUGGGGCUCAUUAGACUGUUUUAAAUCCAGAGUAGGGUCCAAUCAGGGUCACGGGGAAAAAAAAAGUAUUUACCCCCCUACACAUCAGCGCCGCACACAGCCGAGUGGAACCACGCGUAUGAAAUUACACCAUGGCUACGUUUCUGAUUGGCUGCGUUGCGCGCGUUAUUACCUUCUAUCGACACGCCUUCAAUGUAAAUGUACACAAGUCAUAAAUCUACACUCACUACACGCCUUUUCUAACCACUUUACAACGUAUCCAUGACGACAUCCUACUGAAAAAACAAACAACACAAACCAUCAUAGAAUUUUUAAUGGUUAUAAUGGAAACUGUAAUGGUCCCUGUGGGUCUCUACUGGUAAUUUGUUGCCUUCUAGUGCUUAUGUCUAGGGUUGGAUACCAUUAAGGAUCAAUAACGGUAACGGUUUUAAUAGGCUAGCUAUUAAAUGAUGGUUUGUAGUGGUAUUUGUAGUGGAACCCAUUAGAAUUUCUGUGACGGUGACUAUUGUUUUUUUUUUUUUUUCUUUUCAGCAGGGCUACGUGAAAAAUAACGUGCUAGGCUAGGCGUGAAUCCGGGCUCCGCUAUGGAUUUUAAAACCGCGAUAUAACAGUGCACGUUGAGAUGUUGCCAUGGCAACAGUCGUAUAAAAGGUAGCCGAACGACGUAGACGUGGAAACGGUAGCCAAACGGUACGGGUGGCAAUUUUUAUUUUAUUCCGCUAAAACGCGGACGGAAGGUAAAAAUCAGGGGCGUUAACCUCGCUCUGUUCUGUCAACAGACUCGAUUUGUUCGGUGGAGUGAAUUUAAUACACGCGAGACUGUGUAUUUACGUAACAACUACGCUUUUUAAAAUCACAUUGUCCUUGCCUCAAGGUCCGGCGCUCAAGUGAAAAAGAAUAAAACUAAAUUAAAAAGCUUAUUACAUGCUGAGAGACCGUGUGUGUGUGUGUGUGUGUGUGUGUGUGGGAGAGAGAGAGAGAGAAAUCAACAUUAUCCAAACCUACUGGUGCCUGAAAGUAAAUUCUGUAUGUUAAACACUCGCUAUCUCAGAUCGACAGAAGGUCCUUCUUCGUGUACAGUUGUUCGGGGGUUUUUUCGUGUAUUUUUUCCCUCGCUGAAAUCGAGCCAGCAAUCACAAGAACAUCUGUUGAGGAAGAAGAUAAUGGCCAUGGAAGGCUGCUUGCUUUUACAUUCUGUUUGCCGUGUGUGUAGAUUUAGCGUUGUGUGUGUGUGUGUGUGUGUGUGUGUUUUAUCAAAAAGUGCACACGUCGUGUUUUAUAAAGCGAAUAACGCGAGUCCUGCCCGGGUGUUUUUUCUGAGGUUUUUUUUCCCCUCCAGAAGUUGACGGUGGACUUUGAGCAACAGUAACCAAGCUGCAUGUAAUUGCAUCUCAUUACAUUAAUCCCGCUUGUUUGAACACCUGCUCUAAAAGGAUUUCCGAGCGCCGCGCACGCUCGAACGUUCGGGAUGCCGUUUCGGCAAAUGUGGGGGAUUUUUUUUUGUCCCCCUUUUUUUCCCCCCUUUCGUCGCACGAAAAUGUGUAAAAACAUGAAGCUGUCACCGCCGCCUGAUGAGGAAAAUGACCAAACCAGCUGCGCUAAUAAUCAUCCAGCUCGGCUAAUCCUUCACCUUUAUCUGUUAUCUGUAGCAUGCUGACAUACGCACGCUAGCUGUGUUGAGCUUAC
ensembl:lncRNA